rnacentral:rRNA from 1 species
AAAACAGCCCUACGGGAGGCAGCAGUGGGGAAUCUUGCGCAAUGGGCGAAAGCCUGACGCAGCCAUGCCGCGUGUAUGAUGAAGGUCUUAGGAUUGUAAAAUACUUUCACCGGGGAAGAUAAUGACGGUACCCGGAGAAGAAGCCCCGGCUAACUUCGUGCCAGCAGCCGCGGUAAUACGAAGGGGGCUAGCGUUGCUCGGAAUUACUGGGCGUAAAGGGCGCGUAGGCGGAUAGUUUAGUCAGAGGUGAAAGCCCAGGGCUCAACCUUGGAAUUGCCUUUGAUACUGGCUAUCUUGAGUUCGGAAGAGGUAAGUGGAAUGCCGAGUGUAGAGGUGAAAU